rnacentral:rRNA from 1 species
UACAGAGGGGGCAAGCGUUGUUCGGAAUUACUGGGCGUAAAGGGCGCGUAGGCGGCCUGCUAAGUCGAACGUGAAAUCCCUGGGCUCAACCCAGGAACUGCGUCCGAUACUGGUUGGCUUGAAUCCGGGAGAGGGACGUGGAAUUCCAGGUGUAGCGGUGAAAUGCGUAGAGAUGUGGAGGAACACCGAUGGCGAAGGCAGCCCCCUGGGCUGAGAUUGACGCUCAGGCACGAAAGCGUGGGGAGCAAACAGG